UACGUAGGGUGCAAGCGUUGUCCGGAAUUAUUGGGCGUAAAGAGCUCGUAGGCGGUUUGUUGCGUCGGCUGUGAAAUCCCGAGGCUCAACCUCGGGUCUGCAGUCGAUACGAGCAAACUAGAGUGUUGCAGGGGAGACUGGAAUUCCUGGUGUAGCGGUGAAAUGCGCAGAUAUCAGGAGGAACACCGGUGGCGAAGGCGGGUCUCUGGGCCGUAACUGACGCUGAGGAGCGAAAAGCAUGGGGAGCGAACAGG
rnacentral:rRNA from 1 species